AACGAGAGCUUGCUCUUGUUCGGUCAGCGGCGGACGGGUGAGUAACACGUGGGCAACCUGCCCGCAAGACCGGGAUAACUCCGGGAAACCGGAGCUAAUACCGGAUAACACCAAAGACCGCAUUGUCUUUGGUUGAAAGGCGGCUUCGGCUGCCACUUGCGGAUGGGCCCGCGGCGCAUUAGCUAGUUGGUGAGGUAACGGCUCACCAAGGCGACGAUGCGUAGCCGGCCUGAGAGGGUGACCGGCCACACUGGGACUGAGCCACGGCCCAGACUCCUACGGGAGGCAGCAGUAGGGAAUCUUCCGCAAUGGACGAAAGUCUGACGGAGCGACGCCGCGUGAGCGAAGAAGGCCUUCGGGUCAUAAAGCUCUGUUGUGAGGGACGAAGGAGCGCCGAUUGAAUAAGGCGGCGCGGUGACGGUACCUCACGAGAAAGCCCCGGCUAACUACGUGCCAGCAGCCGCGGUAAUACGUAGGGGGCGAGCGUUGUCCGGAAUUAUUGGGCGUAAAGCGCGCGCAGGCGGUCCUUUAAGUCUGAUGUGAAAGCCCACGGCUCAACCGUGGAGGGUCAUUGGAAACUGGGGGACUUGAGUGCAGGAGAGGAGAGCGGAAUUCCACGUGUAGCGGUGAAAUGCGUAGAGAUGUGGAGGAACACCAGUGGCGAAGGCGGCUCUCUGGCCUGUAACUGACGCUGAGGCGCGAAAGCGUGGGGAGCAAACAGGAUUAGAUACCCUGGUAGUCCACGCCGUAAACG
rnacentral:rRNA from 1 species